CAUGUCUGGGCAUGUUCCCGCUUGCACAAAAAGGGAUUUUCCAGACUGAUGGUCCGCUCAGCGUUUCACACAACCCUGUGGUCAGAGAAAGCACAUGUUCUUGGCUAAAUACUCAUUUUUUUCAGAUCUUCAAACAUCUCAGACACCCCAUGUCACGUGCACAAGCCACGUGAGUGUCCAACUCUCUACAGAUGCGGGGUUGUGGCCUCAGGACAUGACCCUCAAACACCCGAUGUCACGUGUACAAGCCAUCUGUCUCAGCGAAGCCCUCGGGACGCUGUCACACCCACCAUCGACGCGGGGCCGGAUGGGAUCAUAUUCGCAGGUGACCCCGAACAUGAUGUCAUGUGACAAAAACGGCAGGAAAUAUGAUCUCACUUUGUUUUCACUGGAUGUGACAUCAUUUUGUUUUUUACCGGAUGUGACGUCAAUGGGGACAGUUGGGCCGGGAGGUGACAUCAUCGGACACGUGCGCUGGCACGCUGCCAAGUGAUGACGUCAUCGGCAACCCAUCAUUUUGUAGAUAUCCCUAUACUCUCCCUCUCUCGUAGGUUGUCAUUCUGCCAACUCCUCAUUUGAUCUGUCUCAUAUUAACGCCUUACGUACACCUAAUUACAGAUGUGCUCAUGAGUUGAAACACCCUGACAGAAUUUGUAAAAUGUUGGAAAGUUUUUA